rnacentral:pre_miRNA from 1 species
AAUAUAGGCAUCUGUUGACUUUCAGACGUCACGUUUGACCAUCUGUCUUAUUAAAAAAAAUUGAAUAUAUUAUUUAUUUUGUUAUAGUUUGUUUUACCAUUAGAUAUACUUCAAGUAUGACUUAUUUGUUUUUAUAUUUCUAUAAAUUUUUUGAAUAAGACGGAUGGUCAAACGUGAUGUGCGGAAAUCGAUAAAUGCUUAUAUU